ensembl:snoRNA small nucleolar RNA SNORA81
CCCUUCUUUUAAAGCACCCUGCUAUAAUUGUGAGGGUGAUGUCUUUGGGCAUGGCCCUAGCAGGCAUGUAAGCAUGGGUACACCAAGGAAGGAAAGUGAAAGCACAGAGUUGUAAAUGAGACUGGGGCGGACCUCUUUCCUAAUGUCCAGUGUCCUCGUCUCAAGAUUGUGUGCCACAUCA